rnacentral:lncRNA from 1 species
UUUUCUCUCAUGGCUGUCCACACAAGGGAGGUGUGUGGGGGAGAAGGGGGUAAUUGGAAAACACACACACACACACAUUCCCCCCCUCUGUUUCUCUUAUAGCCCUCGACACAGGGAGGAUGUGAGGAAAGGGGUAAUUGGAAGGCACACAAACACACACACACACUUUCUCCCCCCCCCUUUCUCUCAUGGCCGUCGACACAAGGGGAUGGGGGGGAAAGGAGUUAAUAGGAACGAACACACACACACCCUCUUUCUCUCAUGAGGGGUGAGGGUGGAAAGGGUUAAUUGGAACACGAACGCCCCCCCCCAAUUGAGGCGGGAAGGGGCAAACGGGGACUCAGCCUGACGAGGCUCUUCUGUCUUCCCCCCCCCAAAAAACCCCACACACAAGGGCUCGUUGACUGAGGGCGAGGGGAAAACUAAAAGGAAACCCACCCAGCCCCAUUUCUGUGAGGGAGAGAAGGGUCAGUGGGGGUGUGUGGGGGUGUCUCUAACUAGUGGCAUUCCCCUAAACUACUUGUGCCAAGUCCUUUACUUACUUUUGAGGAGACCUGUGAGCACACCUUGCCCUACCCAAGGGGAAAGGAGGCUCAAGGCGGGACUCGGUAUCCGGUGUAGUCCAGAGGCUGGAACGACAAAGUGGGACUUUGGGGGAGCCAGAGUGAAGCCCGCCACGUGAGGAAAUUCUCCAGGAAUGGGUCUUCUGUUUAGACAAUAUACUCCUGAUAAGUGAUUAGGAAUCUGUUAAAAGCUAUGGUAAGUUUCCAUUUGAGGUGAGCUUCUGGACCCAGAAAUCUGAUCUUGCAUGGAUAAACAUAGAUUUAGCUGUGGGUGUCUCCAUAUGUGUGUCAGAGGUGUACUUGACCCCUGGAAGUUCCCAUGGAUAUAUUUUAAUAGAGACA